rnacentral:lncRNA from 1 species
GUAUUAAGUGAUUCUUUUUGUGUAAGUAAACGUAGGAGAAGUCAUGAAUGGAAAUCAUUCCCUUUCUUCCUAUUACCAUUACUAAUAAGUAAGGGUGCCAUAAAAAUGAUUCCAUUGCUAAGAUUGGUAAGUUGUUGAUUUUAGCUUAGUAGCUUUCAACUUUUGGUACGGAUAAAAAAGCUAUGUUUACAUCACAAUUACAUAUCAAGCACUCGAUCUCUACGGUCCUGAUGCAAUCACUUAUAUUCACUUACAAGAAAAAAAUUAUUACUUUGCGUUAAAUACACUGACAUAUGUGUGAGUGGAAUACACAUGACACAAUAUGAAUGAGGAAGACAAAAAUAGGAAGGUAAGAUUCCUCAUAAUUUAUAUAAACGGCACAAUUCCAAUGGAAUCUCACUUGCUUAUUAAAAUCUCAUCUAUUUGGAUUUUUUCUACUAGAAUCUACUUGGUUUUUAACACGAGACUGUCACUUCAAUACAGUAUGAUCCAACGGCUAAAAGAAAUAACGCAUCAGUUAUGCUAGUUUUAAAAAAGAAAAAUAUUUUGACAACCAGAAGCCAACAAUUUUAUCUCUCUUCUUUUUAUUCAGAAAGUAUAACCCAUAAAACUUAAAUUUACAAAUUAAAAGCUCCAAUUUUAUUUUUAGUCGCAUGAACAACCAAAUGGUUUUUCCUUAUUUUCUCAUUCUAGAAUUCAAAGAGACCUUUUUUUUUUUUUUUUUUUUGCAGCCCCAUUAUUAAACUCAAUUUGAUCUUCUAUGUACGAGGAGAUACAUACAUACAAAGAAUCCAUGCCCGUUUCUAUUUUUUUUCCCUUGUCUUCUAUUUGUUUUCCUUUUAAUUUACAUCUCUCUUGGACUCUCUCAUAUUAAAAAUAAAAGAUACGAAAUUUAUUUAUUUUUAUUUCAAAGCAACUAAUGGGAGAAUCAUUUUUGUGUGUCAUCUUAUUCCAAUCUUUGGGUGAAGAUUUUUUUUUUUGGUUCUCAGAAGUUAGAAGUUUAAGAUCUACAAAAGCUAACGGAAAAAAAAAAUGCAAUUUUAAUUUUCAGCUUAGAAGAAGAAAGAUGUGCAAUUUGAUUUUGUCAAGGCCAUGGGUUGAGUUUCUCUAGUUGGGUUUUCUCUGUGAUAAGAAGAAGGAAGAAGGAAGAAGGAGAGUUUAUCUUGGCCAAUUGAAGAAGGAGAAAAUAAUAAGUUGUUAGAUUCUAUUUAUUAGCAUUAAGUGUGGCACGGUUCGGAUUGUUCAGUUUACCCUCAAACCACAAUUAAACCAAUAAGAAUUGAACGACAUGAUUUGGUUCAGAUUUACCUAAAAUCAAAAUGAAAACCAAACCUAACCAAACUAAACCAUUCAUUACUGGUUUUGUUCUGUCGGUUUAUGCAUAAAGAUAGUCAUGUACUUGAGUUGUUGGGGUCCCAACUAAUUCAAUAACAAGCACAAAAACAAGAGCAAAAAAGAUCACAUUUUUCUGCAAGCGGUCUCUGAAAAAGAGCUUGUGCAUGAACAAACAAAGGAUGAAACAAGAUGACACAACCCAUGAAGGGCUCAUUGACUUAUAUCAAUUGAAGAUAUAAAAGCUUGUCGAGUUUGGGCUUGUAAAUGGCAGAUAAUUCAUGUCUGUUGGGGGCAAAUUGAUGUAAAUUAUGUUAUAAGUAUGAAAUUGCCAUAUAAAAUGUACAUAUUUAUGAAAAAAAAAGAGACACACCAAACAAUUAAAGAUAACAACUAGCCUAAUUUCCAUUGCGAGCUUUGAAGCCAAUCAUGACUUAGAGCAUCCACAAUGUGCUCCCUAAACUACCUCUUUAAUCAAAAUUUAAGGAGAAAUUGAAAAAACCCACCUCCAAUCAUGCUCCCUAUCCAAAUUCUAAAAUAGAAAGACAUUUAGGAACUCCUAAAUCUAUGGAGAGAGAAAGGGCUCAUAGUGACUCCCUAUAAUUAAAUGCUACUAUAUUUUAUUAUUAUUUUAAACAUUAAUUUAAUGAUGUCUUUAAUUUUAUCCUUUUUUUUUUCCGGUAUUUUAUAUUUUUAAUUAUCUUUCUAUUGCAACGCUACCUACGUCAUGCACCAUCUUUUCUAUUCUUUUUGCUAUAGGUGCUUUGCAAAGCACAAGCAAAUAUUUUUUUUCUGGUUAUUUUAACUGUAAACAUUUAGCAGCACACAAACACCCUUUUUUAUUUUUAUUUUUAUUUUUAUUUUUAUUUUAUAGUUCUUUUCCUUGUAGGUACUUUACAAAACACAAACACUUUUAAAACACAAAAACCAUAGAAUUGUUUUUGUAGUUUAUUAUUUGGGGAAUAUUCAGUAUUUGAAUAUGAACAUUUUAUUGCAAAUCAGGAAUUGAAUUUAAAAAGAAGUAAAGCAUUUGUGACU